AUGUUUGAUGUUCUAACGUGGACCCGUAAUCCGGGUUGCGGACAGUGUCUGGUGGGUAGUUUGACUGGGGCGGUCUCCUCCUAAAGAGUAACGGAGGAGCACGAAGGUUGGCUAAUCCUGGUCGGACAUCAGGAGGUUAGUGCAAUGGCAUAAGCCAGCUUGACUGCGAGCGUGACGGCGCGAGCAGGUGCGAAAGCAGGUCAUAGUGAUCCGGUGGUUCUGAAUGGAAGGGCCAUCGCUCAACGGAUAAAAGGUACUCCGGGGAUAACAGGCUGAUACCGCCCAAGAGUUCAUAUCGACGGCGGUGUUUGGCACCUCGAUGUCGGCUCAUCACAUCCUGGGGCUGAAGUAGGUCCCAAGGGUAUGGCUGUUCGCCAUUUAAAGUGGUACGCGAGCUGGGUUUAGAACGUCGUGAGACAGUUCGGUCCCUAUCUGCCGUGGGCGCUGGAGAACUGAGGGGGGCUGCUCCUAGUACGAGAGGACCGGAGUGGACGCAUCACUGGUGUUCGGGUUGUCAU
rnacentral:rRNA from 1 species